AGAUUGAACGCUGGCGGCAUGCCUAACACAUGCAAGUCGAACGGGAGUAGCAAUACUCUAGUGGCGGACGGGUGAGGAAUACGUAGGAAUUUGCCCUUAAGUGGGGGAUAACCCGGGGAAACCCGGAUUAAUACCGCAUGACCUCGAAAGAGCAAAGUGGGGGAUCGCAAGACCUCACGCUUUUGGAGAAGCCUACGUCGGAUUAGCUAGUUGGUGAGGUAAUGGCUCACCAAGGCGACGAUCCGUAACUGGUCUGAGAGGAUGAUCAGUCACACCGGAACUGAGACACGGUCCGGACUCCUACGGGAGGCAGCAGUGGGGAAUAUUGGACAAUGGGCGCAAGCCUGAUCCAGCAAUGCCGCGUGUGUGAAGAAGGCCUUCGGUUGUAAGCACUUUAAGUUGGGAAGAAAAACUACGACGUCUAACACAGUGAGUCUUGACGGUACCGACAGAAUAAGACACCGGCUAACUCUGUCGCCAGCAGCCGAC
rnacentral:rRNA from 1 species